GCGCGAAAACUUUACAAUGCUGGCAACAGCGAUAAGGGAACCUCGAGUGCCAGGUUACAAAUCUGGCUGUCGAGAUGCCUAAAAAGCAUUUCAUAGCAAGGGCCGGGCAAGAUCGGUGCCAGCCGCCGCGGUAACACCGGCGGCUCGAGUGGUAACCGUUAUUAUUGGGUCUAAAGGGUCUGUAGCCGGCCGGAUAAGUCUCUUGAGAAAUCUGGCAGCUUAACUGUCAGGCUUUCAGGAGAUACUGUCUGGCUCGAGGCCGGGAGAGGUGAGAGGUACUUCAGGGGUAGGGGUGAAAUCUUGUAAUCCUUGAAGGACCACCAGUGGCGAAGGCGUCUCACCAGAACGGACCUGACGGCAAGGGACGAAAGCUAGGGGCACGAACC
rnacentral:rRNA from 1 species